CGGUUGCAUUGUGUUUUGUCAAUUUAAUUCGGCAUUUUGUGAGCGCUUUGAAGAUGCUGUGCCUGUGUAACAACACUGCCAGUGUCGUGCCUGGUGUUAUCGUCGGCACUUCAAAAUAUGUGAAAAAUUACUGCACUUUGUUAUUCUUCUCGUUAUUUCCCUACAGUGCCUAAUGAAGCGGAAGUCUCGCACAUUCACAGAAAGCGGUGUACUUCCGCAUUGAAAAAAAAGGUGGAUAGGUAGAUUCCACAUUCGACCGCAAUCUUGGAACAGUCAAUGUGUCAUCACUCACUAUAAAAAUGAGUUUCACGAUACCAUGACAACAUCGUGCAGCCUCUCGGUUUCAAAACUGCCAAAAUAUAAAUUUAUGAAGAAAUCGGAUAAACUUUCACAGGCACUCUGAUUUGCCUCGGGCCUUCCAGUCUCCAGCUCUGCCUUGGAGUGAGAAUCCCCUGUCUCCGCCUCCAGCCAUUGAUUCCAGGACUCCACCUUGGUCCUCCGACCCAUCGGCUCUGCCUUGGCUCCUUGCUCACGUGGCCCAUCAUCCCACUGGCUCCACUAGGCUCCCUCAUCCCUCCGGCUCUGCCUUGGUCAGUCGUUGACCUUCCUCUUCUACGGGAUUCCACUCCUCCGGCUUUGCCUCAUCCCUCCAUCCCUCUGGCUCCGUCUGGCUUCUUCCCUCCAGCUCCACCGUUGUCCUCAGUCGCUCCAGCUCUGCCGCAGUCUUCCGGGUUCCUUGUUUCUGCCUCGCUUGCAUGAGCUGUCAGCUCUGCAUUGGCUCUCUGGACCUCUGGUGUCAACCUGGCUCUCCAUCUGCUCUGCUCCACCUGGGUCUCCACCUCCAGUGGCUCCAUCUCCAAAGCUCGUCCACAUGGUGUCGUCAAGGCCUUCUCCACCAUGCCUCUUCCCUCCCUCGACUCCACCAUGGGCAUCAGUCCUGGCUGUUCCCUGGAUCUCCACCUGGCUCCUCCCAAAGUCAGCUCCAACCUGGUCUCUCUAUCCACCUUCUCACCUGGUUCCUGCAUGUCCUCCACAUCCUUUUCCAGAGCCCCCUUCCUCCCACCUCAGAUGGACUCUUUGCAGCGCGAGGACGUGCCUUCUGAGAGAGGAAGCUACUGUCACAGUUAUGGACUUUUGGUUGUGUUUCACUGUUUCUGUUCUCCUGCCUUGAUUAGUUCCUUUGCCCUAGUUUCUGAUUGGUCCUGAUUUGUUUCUAUGGUUACUUAUGAUCUGCAACUGUCACUCAUUCUUUAGACUCCACUCUGUUUAGUCGCUGCUGGUUAUUUUCUUUACCAUUGUGUGUGCUACGCUUCUCCUGUGUGUAUUCCUUGUGGAUUUAUAAUUAAAAGACUAUUUUUGGAUUA